AUUAAACAGAAGCAACCUUGCCGAUGAUUUUCGUACAAAGAAUCCGGCGAGUGCAAGCUGUAAAUUAUUCCGACAUUAAUGCUGUUCGAAAUAGGGUUGCAGUCGUUGAUUCCUUUGACAUUCGGUUAUUAAUAACCCGAUUGAGUUUAAAUUCUUCCGACAUGGGAGUAAAAAGACGGUAAUUAUUUUACAAGAAAAUCGGGGCGCGAAUUAACAUAUUACAAAACGCCAAAACGUUAUAAAAAAUGCAUGCAAAUUUAUGGAAAUUGCGACAGCGAAAUUUAUCUCGACAAAGCUAUCGCGUUGUUCGUGCAUUGUUAUGAUUAAAUAAUUGCACUAACAUUGUUUUAAUCAAAUUUAGCCGAAUUAGCAUGCGAUGACUUUGGAUUCGCUCGCUUCAUUAAAAUAACAAAUGGGCAGUGCGGUUACUUCACUGGACCAUCAGGAAAAAAGCUUUUGACCACUAUUAUUAGAAGAUGAUAAAUGUAUCGGAUUAAAAGCCGACUCCAUUAACUCGAAUGCUUGAAAAAACCUGAAAGAAAGGAUCAUCUUGAGGCACCUACGAAAUCACUUGUCAAAACGGCCGUAAUGAGCUGUCAAUGCGGCGGACGAGCGGCUUGGCGGUGCCAAAAAUGUGUUUAGUUUGUUGCCCAACGCUAAUUGGAAACAUUGGUUGAAAGAAUGUUACAUUUUAUGACUGGCCUGUUUUUUGUUGUUAAAAUUAAGUCAGUGGGUUUGCAGGAGUGCAUCGCACAAUCAAGUCACUAAAACUUCGCUAACGAGUUUGUUCAACUAACGAAAUUUUGCCCGGAAUGUACCCCGGAUGAUAUUCAAAGCGAAAUCUCUCGUCUCCGUCAUGUUGAAAUCUCCGUUUAAUGUUCUCGUCUUCUUUUUACAAAUGUAACCAUUUUAUUAGUAGAGGAAGCUGUACGUUAA